rnacentral:lncRNA from 7 species
CAGUACUGCUGGUUACACCGCUGGUGAAUGCUAACGUCAAACUGAUUUGCUCCCAAGAAGCCACUGCUGCGUGCUCCUGCAGGGAUGCUGCUGGCUGCCCCCCGCUCUCUGCUGUGCUUUGUGUGCUCCACGGGUGUUCUCUCCCUGAAGCAGUGGUUACGUGGGAUUUGGGGCUCCUUUUCCAACCCCUCCUGCGAAAGGAGAGCACAGAAACAACAGAGGAGUCAUCACGUUGCUGUGAAAAUACACAAGAUGUGUUGUCAGCAAUAGCUGCAGUGAUUGCUCGGUGGUGUCCAGAACCAGAGAGAAGGAAAGAUCUUCAGACCAAGAUGGAAACAGCCGGGGUUCCUUGGAAGAGCUGAGCCUUGAGGGCAGGACUAAGACUUCGAAAGACGGUGAUGGCCGUGGCACCUUCUCCUGGGUUGAGUUUAUCUGUAUUUUAUCCACAGGGUGGCACAUGGACCUUCCUGGGGAGAUCUGAAUGGUAUCACAGCGCAAACAGCUUUUGUUCGGGUAGCCGUAGUUCAGGCUGAGGCACAGCUGACCCAAAAUAGAGCCCAGACAGACAACGCCGAGGAUGGCUCGAGGCUUUGGGAGGACAUGGCAGAGGGAACCUUACCCUGUGUGGGGCACACAGAGCCUCGCCGAUGCUACACCUGCGCUGGAAGGAUAGGGGAGAUUUCCAAAUCAAUGUACCGGUGCUCAUUUUUUGUUUGUUUGUUUGAUUUUUGUUUUCAAAACCUGUGCAGGGCUGCUGGGUUGAUGUCACCACCGCUUUGUCUGGCUUUGGCCUGAGGGGCAGGAGGGAGUCUGGUCACCCCCGUAAUCCCAGCAGCCUCCAAUGGCAACGACAGCCCUCGGAUGAAUGAAGGCAGCAGCACUGUGCAAAUUACCUUUUCUUUCUUAUCCACAGUAAGACAGAUAAUAAUCCUCCUACGGGACUAAUUACAGCCAAUGAAAAUAACUCCCACUGCCAGUAUUUGAAGGAUAACCACUUAGAUGAAAAAGAGUGAACAAUGAUUAUUAUUUUGUGCGUGGCUCUCUCUCGCCCCAUCUAUUCUGACCUCAGUAAAUCACAGUGUAAUUAAUCACUGAGGAUUAAACACCGCAGGGAAAAGAGUAGGAAAUUAUGUAUAAGCAAAACUUGAAAUGACUUUGACUUACCAUAAAUUUGGGUUAUCUGUCUCACAGAAUACGUUUCCUAGGCUGCCUCUUACGGAAUAAAUCUAUCCCGACCUGUGUACAUGAGAACUGUAUGAAUAGUGAAGACUGGAGUAUCGAUGGGUGUGUAAGAAACUAAUCAAAAAAGGCAGUGACUG